rnacentral:rRNA from 1 species
UAGUUAAGUUCUUGAAACUCAAAGGAUUUGGCGGUGUUUUAGUCUAUUCAGAGGAAUCUGUCCCGUGAUUGAUAAUUCACGAAUUAUUUAACUUGGUUUUGUAAAAUCAGCUUGUAUACCGCCGUCAUCAGAUUAUCUUUUUAGGGUCGGCAAUUUUCUUAAAAUUUAAUUAAAUUAUAUGUCAGGUCAAGGUGCAGUUUAUAAUUAAGUGGUGGUGGAUUACAAUAAGAUUACUUAAAUGGAUAUUUGGGUGAAAGAUUAAUUGAAGGUGGAUUUGAUAGUAAAAUUAUUAAUUAGUAUUUUGAUUUUUAGCUCUAAAACAUGUACACAUCGCCCGUCGCUCUCAUUUUUUUUAAGGUGAGAUAAGUCGUAACAUAGUAGAUGUACUGGAAAGUGUAUCUAGAAAGU